CCUUUUACAAUGGAGGGAGAGGCAUCUAUUUAUAGUUGAGCCUCCUCAAAUCCAACGGUACAGAUUAAUUACAUCAACGACUAAGAUUAAAAGGUAUCUACAAAUUAAAUCUCUAAUAUUACAAAAUCGUAUCUUCUAAGAUUACAUAUCAUAUCUAAGAUUACAUAUCAUAUCUAAGAUUACAUAUCCUUGAAGAUUAUGUUUCCAUAUACAUCAAGCUUGUAGAUAAGCCUUCAACUUUUUCAAGUAAUGGGUCAUCCCGAUCGAGCCAAAUGAUAUCAUUUUGAACUUUGUUUUAUUAUUUUAGGUUUAUUAUUUUUUAUGAGCCCGGGCUAAAUUGGCCUAUUACAGACUAUAUAUGAUAAAUCGAUCAUUUAUUUGUAUGUAAAAGAUUCUUAGUCAUUAACAUCAAACUAAAUUCAAUCAAUUAAUCAAAUAUAAAAUCGAUAAUUUAAUAAAUUAAAUAAAAAAUUGAUAAUUUAUUCACAUAAAAUCAAACAUAAUUUAUUCAAUUAAUCAAAUAUAUAAAGUAAUUUAUGAAUUUGAAUCUCAAAUUUAAUAAUUUGUGUAUUUGUUUUUGCUUGGGUAAAUAAUAGUUUAAUUUGAAUCUCAAAUAUAUUCAUAUAUUACAUAUAUAACUUAAAUUUAUUUUUAAACUAAUUUUUAAAUUAAUAGUUUAAUUUAGAUGUAUGACAUUUUUUUCAAUAGCCCUCAGAUUUUCUGUUUUUAACACGAAAAGAUUUUUUUGUUAGAGUAGCACGUCAUAUAUCUUUUUUGAUGAGAAAAUUAGACAAUGAACUAAUUUAAAAAUUGAUUUGAGAGUAGAUGAUGACAUUAGUGAUUAGGCUCAUUUUACACAUAGCUACUUAAUUCUACAAGCUGCAUUGGAAAAUUUUCUCUUUGCAUUCAAAAUUAAAUCUCACCAAUUAAAGAAAUCACUUUCCAUGAUUAUAUUUCAAGAAAAAUAAACUGAUUAUUCUACAAGCCUGUCAAUAGCACAGGAAUUAAUUAAAUUCCCAUACCGCAUCUAAAGAAUCAACAACUUCCAUCGAAACCAAAUCCAGAUUUAACCUUAACCUAGACCCACCUAAACCAGAAACAAAUCAAACCUGUAAAGGACAUAACUCAAAACAUCCAAAUCCGAAGUAACUUAAAUCUAACAUGAUCAUAUAUGUAAAAAUUUGAAUCACAAAAAACUUAAACUGUAAAUCUGAAUGAUCCCAACUCAAAACAUACACAAACUAAAACCAAUUAAACCGAUCCAAUUCACAAAAACAGAACCUCAAGCACAAAUAAUCGAGCUCCUUUUUUACUAGAUAAACAAACCUAAUCAAGGGAAGAAAAACUAAAAGGCCGAAAAUAAGGAAUGAGGAAUUUUUUUCAAUAGUUUAAUUUAGAUGCAUGCCAUUUUUUUCAAUAGCCCUUUGAUUUUCUGUUUUUAACACGAAAAGAUUUUUUUUUGUUAGAGUAGCAUGUCAUAUAUCUUUUUUGAUGAGAAAAUUAGACAAUGAACUAAUUUAAAAAUUGAUUUGAGAGUAGAUGAUGACAUUAGUGAUUAGACUCAUUUUACAUACAGUUACUUAAUUCUACGAGCUGCAUUGAAAAAUUUUCUCUCUGCAUUCGAAAUUAAAUCUCAGCAUAUAAAGAAAUCACUUUCCAAGAUUAUAUUUCAAGAAAAAUAAACUGAUUUUUUUACAAGCCUGUCAAUAGCACAGGAAUUAAUUAAAUUCCCAUACCGCAUCUGAAUGAUCCCAACUCAAAACAUACAUACACUAAAACCAAUUAAACCGAUCCAAUUCACAAGAACAGAACCUCAAGCACAAAUAAUCGAGCUCCUUUUUUACUAGAUAAACAAACCUAAUCAAGGGAAGAAAAACUAAAAGGCAGAAAAUAAUAGGGAAGAAUUGAACCAAAAGGCAUAAAAUAAGGGGAAAAAAGAGCUUACCGAGCUCGCAAAAUUGAAGAAUGGGAGAGUUUUUGUUACGGAAAACCCUAACUUGUGAGAUUGAAAGAGAAGCUUUUAAUUUCGCCGGAGCUUCAGAAUCAGGGUUGUGCCCUACAGAUAGCAACAGAAGCAAAGAAAAAAUUAAAGAGAAAGAAAAAAACGAAGCAAGCAUUAAAGAAAAAAAUCAAACAGAAAAAGGAACAGCCAUAUACCCAGUCAACGGAGAAAUUAGGGAUUUGCUGAGAUUUUUACCAGUCAGCCCAAAGUAGAAGCCAUAUUGGAGCGAGAAGAAGGCUGGAGAACGACGGUGAAGGGGUUAGGGAUUUGCAGGAGAGGAGAAAGACGGAAGGAGAGUCGGGGUGAAGGGGGGAGAUUUAAGUCAAAUUGAAAUUUCAAUAUUUCCGACGUUUUACAAAAACCCCACUAAUUGCAAACUAUUUGCGGCUAAUGAU
rnacentral:lncRNA from 1 species